rnacentral:sRNA from 1 species
UUCUGAAUUUCGGAUGUGUUUUUUGAAACAGUGUUGCAAUUUGGCUGCACAGAGGGACAAUAAUAAUUUUUUCUUGACAUGAUUAUGAAAUGCCCAGGCGAGAAAGGCACUCAUCGACUCAUAUUCCUUAAAGGUGGAGCAUGAAAAUGGCUGUAGAAGAAUUAAAACCUUCAACAACUCCUCACAUCAUACAUAUUCGGAAUAAAGUCCAACAAAUUAGAUCACAAGGGCAGACAAUACCAAAUGUGUGUAUUUAUCUACCAGAUCACGUAUUCAGUCAUGGACAAUUGUACGUGGCUUUAUCAAGAGGAGUAUCAGCGUCUACAACAAAAGUCUUGGUAAAGAAAGGAGAAUUACACGGUCAUGAAGGAGUCUUCACAAAGAAUGUUGUGUACAAAGAUAUUUUGCUUCCCUCGAAUUCAACAUAAGGACGGCGAUAUGAGUUCAUGAUAUGAAGAACCGUCAAGUGUAUCAAGGCCAAUUGAAGUUCUUGGAUUGUUUUUAUACUUUUUACUUAGCUUUUAGUUGCAGCUAAAUUAUAAGGAUCUUCUAUGUUAUUUAUUACUUUUUUUUUUUUUACAAAUUCUAGAUAAAUACUUUA